UACGUAGGCAGCAAGCGUUGUUCGGAGUUACUGGGCGUAAAGGGUGCGUAGGUGGCUCUAUAAGUAUGGUGUGAAAUCUCCCGGCUUAACUGGGAGGGUGCGCUAUAGACUGCGGGACUAGAGGGUGGGAGAGGAAAGUGGAAUUCCUGGUGUAGCGGUGAAAUGCGCAGAUAUCAAGAGGAACACCAGUGGCGAAGGCGAGUCCCUGGACGACACCUGACACUGAGGCACGAAAGCUAGGGGAGCAAACAGG
rnacentral:rRNA from 1 species